AACGAACGCUGGCGGCAUGCCUAACACAUGCAAGUCGAACGAGACCUUCGGGUCUAGUGGCGCACGGGUGCGUAACGCGGGGGAACCUGCCCUUAGGUUCGGAAUAACUCCCCGAAAGGGGUGCUAAUACCGGAUAAUGUCUUCGGACCAAAGAUUUAUCGCCGUUGGAUGGGCCCGCGUUGGAUUAGCUAGUUGGUAGGGUAAAAGCCUACCAAGGCGACGGUCCAUAGCUGGUCUGAGAGGAUGAUCAGCCACACUGGGACUGAGACACGGCCCAGACUCCUACGGGAGGCAGCAGUGGGGAAUAUUGGACAGUGGGCGAAAGCCUGAUCCAGCAAUGCCGCGUGAGUGAUGAAGGCCUUAGGGUUGUAAAGCUCUUUUACCCGGGAUGAUAAUGACAGUACCGGGAGAAUAAGCUCCGGCUAACUCCGUG
rnacentral:rRNA from 1 species